rnacentral:rRNA from 1 species
CCUACGGGUGGCAGCAGUGGGGAAUAUUGCACAAUGGGCGCAAGCCUGAUGCAGCGACGCCGCGUGCGGGAUGGAGGCCUUCGGGUUGUAAACCGCUUUUGUUCAAGGGCAAGGCACGGUCUUUGGCUGUGUUGUGAGGUUUGUUUGCAUAAAAGCCGGCUAACUACGUGCUACCAGCCGCGGUAAUACGUAGGGUGCAAGCGUUAUGCGGAUUUAUUGGGCGUAAAGGGCUCGUAGGCGGUUCGUCGCGUCUGGUGUGAAAGUCCAUCGCUUAACGGUGGACUCGGGCCGGGUACGGGCGAGCUGGAGUGCGGUAGAGGAGAGUGGAAGUCCCGGUGUAGCGGUGGAAUGUGUAGAUAUCGGGAAGAACACCAAUGGCGAAGGCAGGUCUCUGGACCGUUACUGACGCUGAGGAGCGAAAGCGUGGGGAGCGAACAGGAUUAGAUACCCGAGUAGUC